UCAAUCUUAAUCCUCUUUUAAAAUCGAAGCAAUGCAGUAAUAAUUAGAAAGAAGCUGACCAAAAAUGAUGAUCGAAUCAGAGACGUUAAUGAAACAUCAGAGUUCUUCAUCCCCCCCCAAUUAAUGCCCCAAACUGUUCCGUUAAUUUCUAUUUAAGACAUUCGAUCGACUUCAAAGUUCAAACCCUAAUUCCCUAACUAUGGACUAUACAUCCAUCUUCUUCCCCCAUUUUUCUCUCUCUAAAACUCUCUUUCUCUCCAUCUCUCUCCCUUUUCGUUUCAUUUUAACACUAAGUAUUCACUCUAGUUGUUAAUUCGAUCGUAGUUUCUCUGUCUAAAUAACAAAUUCGGUUACUGUCGACGAUUCCUCUAUUUUCUAUGGUAAGCUCGCCGACCUCCUCUGAGUCUCUCCCACCUCCGGUUGUCCUUCCGACUGCCGGAGGUGGCGGUGCGCUUGCUCUGAUGAGGAUCAGACUCGGUUGUCCCUCCCGUAGACUACUGCUCAAAUUUUUUGGGGGCGGAUAAUAAGAAGUUUGACUCAGUGAUUGAUGAGCUUGAUGAUAUAAUGUUCAACAAGGAGAGAUUUAAGAAGAUAUGGAAUAUUUGGUCGAUUCCAGAAAGUUACAACAGGAUUUGUCCAAAUAUACAAGCAAAAUGGUUGCUGGCAAGGAUAGGGGGAAGCGGCAGUGGAGGCGGAGGGGGAAGCGGCGGAGCAAAGUACAAAUUGAAGCCAACUCCGUACUAUAAAGAAGAUACUCUUUUGCAUUGACGUUAACACAGAAAUUAUGUCAGAAAUGAAGAACACCGGACCAAAUGAAUGACCCAUCACCAGACUUGAUUCAAUCAAACAAUCCAUCCUUUUAUUCAUCUAUGCUAAACUCACCAUUAAUCCUGAUCAUCAUUUCAUCUUCACCUCUAUCUCAAAUUCAGCUGCUUGGCUAUUCUGCAGAUUCUCGCAUUGUUACCAGUGGCAAUAUUUUAUUCAUCAGGCAUCUCAAUCAUCAUCAUAACUUUCUAUCUUCUUCUGAGCAACUUAGGUGCCUCUAUAGCUGAGGUUGCUAAUGAUUCUAUGGUUUCCGAGAUUAGUAAACAACCUACUUAUUUAAAGAAAGAGCAAUCAUCUUCCUCAGGGGAGCUUCAGUCAUUUGUUUUGAUGGCUACUUCAGUUGGGGGAGUACUCGGGAAUUUAGUAGGAGGGGUUGCCAUUGUAAAGUUCAACCCUCGAUUUAUGUUAUCAGAUUCUUUUUUUUCUUCCGAUUAUGUAAUUCGUUUAAGAUAAAACAAAAGAAUUAUGAAAUUUUUGUGUUAUUUUUUAAAAUUGAUGAUUUGAUCUUGAUUUUACAGUAUACGCUU